rnacentral:lncRNA from 1 species
UAUUCUCUAUAGCAUGCAUGAAGGUCAGAGGACAACUUGCAGGAGUUGGUUCUCUCCUUUCUGUUGUUUCUACCCUGCUGUGUAGUCCAUACCACUGACCUCAGAAUAUUCCCUUGUCUCUCCUCCCAUCCCUCUGUAGGAGUUUUAGGUGCACGCCACCAUGCAUGGUUUUUAAAUAUAGAUUCAGGAGUCUGGACUCAGGCCAUCGGGCUUGCACAGAAAGUGCUACUACCGGCUGAUCCAUCUCACUACCCUCCAUGUUGUGUCAGUAGUGGUGGGAAGCAGGCUGAUUAACAAAUCACUCCCCAAGAGCAUGUUGACAUGGGAUGAAUGAACACUCAUGAUGGGCUAAGUGCAGGAAACAACCUCAAAGGGCAAAUAGUUAAAGCCAGAGCUUGGCACACUAAGGGACAAGGGUUUCAAGAUGGCAGUCGACUAGAAGGGUGGAGAUGUCGAUUGAAGAUGGCCCGGAAACAGGAAUUAGCACCCUUGGGCUGGUGAAGUGAGGAAAGGCUGCUGGAAGGGAGCAGGCAUCCCAUUCAGAGACAGAUGGAUGUCUUGGCCCAACGCCGGUUUGCCCAGACUCCAAGUAUGUUCUAGCUCUUUCUCCUCGGAUUUAAAAUUCAGUUCUAUUUUAAAGGAAAGUGUCCAGGUGUUUCUGACUCAUGGAUAUGUAAGUCUCUGUUGAGUGUGAGUUCCAUGUGUGAGGUGUGUGUGUGUGUGUGUGUGUGUGUGUGAAGGAUUGUCUGAGGAAUAUAUUUGAGGCCAUUUUUGUCUGUGGCUGAGUCCUAUGAGACUUCAGCCAGGUUUCUCACCUGUAGCCUUCUCAGCCAAGCAGAGAAUCUGAGUAGCAGUUUGUGACCAGAAGCCAAUGGGUCCCAGGGUGGACCACAGAGAGAUGUCCCAACUGGCUACUGUGGCUGUCCCUACUUGAGCACACACAGCUGUUCCCCGCUCUUUGGAAAGACUAUGUAGCCUUGAGCCUGUUGAUGACAAAGUUGGAGGGACAGUUUGUUCGGGAUGAUUUGACACAUCAGGCAUCCGGGCCAGCCACCUCUCAGAAAUAGAAUUAGAGUAGGAAAUGUAUUCCUGGCAGCGGAAGGUGCCCCCAGCAGCCUGCUGGAGCUUUCAGGGGCCCAGAGAGGGAGACAAGGCUGCCAGUACUACAGACAAAGACCAGACCAGACCAGUCUCCUCCUCAUGGGAGCAAGGAGGCUGGGGCCAUGACCCUGUGAAAACAUCUGGACAGCUGUGGAAGGCUCUCACUCCACCAAGGAUGCCCCUCCCACUUCCUACCCAGCUCAGCAGGAAAAGCUCUGUAAGUGAGGUCUUCUUCAGGUGUGAAUUUGCUUCACACUAGCCCAUGGCUGGCUGCCCAUCCAUCGCUCUGGGGAAUCUCCUUUCUCUGGCCUUUUCUUGUGACGUCACCCCCUUUCCCUCUUGACUUUGGAUCUCCUGCUGCACCAUAUGCUCUACCAGAAGAGUCCAGCAUUUUGACAUUGCAACAUGAAGUUGUCAUCUGCAAAGUUCACACUUAAGACCUGCGCAAGCAAGUUACAGGAAAAAAAUCCCCCC